rnacentral:lncRNA from 1 species
CCUGUGUUUUACAAUUAGGACAAACAAUUUUGAAUAAUGCGUCUCUUCUCUGUUCAAGUAGCAGUUCACGCCUAUGCUGCUGUCUGCUAUUAAGUAUAAUUGUUAUUUCCAUUACCUGGUGUCUGAGUCAUUUUCUGUGUCAGUGAAUAGUGUCUUCAUAACCAUCUGUGUGACUUAUUUAACAUUGUUUCUUAGCCAGACUAAUUUUUAGACUGUCAUCAUAUUCUUUCCAUACCGUGAGAAGUUUUCUGUAGUACUAUUCUAAUAGUAAUUUUUUUCCAGAGGUGGUAAUUCUUACAGGAAGCUCAUUGUUAUUUAUCUUCUCUGAUGUACUUUUCAGUUGUUCUUAAUGUCUUCUGCCUUCAAAUGAAUCAAUACUUUCAAUUAAUCAUGUGUUUUAUGUCAUAAUAUUCAAAUAUAUUUUUGUCAUAUCUGCAUAUUGGUAGUCAAUUUCACUAGGAAAAAAAAAGUUGAAUUUCUAUAAUCAUGGAAGCACCAUAUCUUUCAACAUUCUGGAACACUGCUUCUGCAAAUUAAUAGAAAGUAAGUUAAAAAGAAACUCUGUAAUUAAGUACCUCCUAUAAUAUAUAGCUUUUCUUAUGUAAAACAAGUAUCAUUUUUGUAGCAAAUUGUAUAUGUGUGUAUAUAUGUAUAUAUUACAUGCUAUAUACAUUUUAUAUACAUAUAUUUUUUUUUUUUGCUUUUUAGUGGUACACAUACAGCAUAUGGAUGUUCCCAGACUAGGGGUUGAACUGAAGCUGCAGCAGGAAGCCACAGCCACAGCCACAGCCACAGCCACAUCAGGUCCAAGCCGUGUCUGUGACCUACACCAUAACUCACAGCAAUGCCGGAUUCUUAACAUACUGAGCAAGGUCAGGGAUCAAACCCACAUCCUCAUGGGUACUUUGCUGAACCACAAAUUUACUGUUAAGAUACUGAGACUGCCAAAUUGUCACUUAGAAGCAGGUGAAAAUCUGUUCAAUAAUUUAAAAAAUAUUUUGUUACCAUUCAUGAAUCCUAAGUAGAUGUUGGGUAUUUCAGAACUAGGAAUUCUGAACCUGCAAGGUUGUAGCUCCAUGAAAUUAUUCAUUCAACUCCAUGUCUUUCUGUUUUCAUCUGUACAUUCAUUUCCUGUUCACUACUUGCUUUUGUUUCAUUCUCUGUCUUCUUCCCUCAGUCAUUGAUUCUAACAUAUAUCCUAAAUUUGUCUAUGUCCAUACUCUGCUUAUCACCAUAGGCAAGGGGAAAUAAAUGAACAAGAAAAAUAAUAGAAUAUUGAGGAAAAGAUACAAAGAGGAAUUUUUUGUUUUGUUUUAUAGGAGAGAUGGACAAAGAUCUAGGUGGCAAAGGAAGCUUUCCCAUUUCCUGAAUAUUUUCCUUGUUUCCUAACAGAUGAUAACUCCAGCAGCUAACAUGUAUUGUGUGAUAGCUCUCUGCGAGGCACUACUCAAAAUCUUUAUAAAUAUUAACUGAUUUAAUCCUAAAAAGUUUAGGAGGCAUAGCAAAUUAUUAUUUCUGUUUUAUAGGUACUAAAGCCUAAGGACUAAGGCAUUCUUCCAGUGUCACAUGACUAGUGAGUUCCAGGGCCAGGGUUUGACCCCAAAGUUUGGUUCUAGGGCCUAAUCAUGGUUAAUAAUGCAUGAUUUUCUGCUUAUUUUAACUGCUUUGGAGUUGAGAAAUUGUUUAUACAACAAACUAUUCUUUAGUAACAAUAAACUUUUACAAAAUUAAAUGUCUUUUUAUUAGCUAAGUGAUUAAGAGCUACCUGUAGAUAUGUAAUAAUAUUUUGCAAAAACCAAAUAUUAUUUCCCUUACUGCACUGACAUACAUUGUGAAUCUCCAAGAACACUAUAUAAAAUAUUUCCUUCUACAAUUACAUUUCAUCUCAUAUUUUGUUGAAGGAAUAUUCUAUUAUGGAAAUCACAUACACAUACUCGGAAAGAAAACUACAUUUAUAGAUGCCACGUCUUGAUUUUGGACUUGUAACACAUUAUUAUAGUGGCCUUCAAUUGUCGCUUAAUUUUCUAAGUGAAGUUCCUUCACCAAGGUGUGAAGAGUGAUAUUUACUUAUUUAGCAUAUCUUUAUAAUGCACAACUAAUUUCCAAUCAAAUCAGUCAUUGCUGACAUUGACACUUUUCAUAUGAGACUUUGAAGUUUUUUUUUUAAAGUUUUAUAUGAUGAAGACUACCAUAAAAUAGCUAUGUCACUUAGUGUAAGUCACUCAGCCUCCCUGGGCCUCAGUCUCAUUACUCCCACGUGAAGAAUGUUGCACUAGAUGACUUAAGGGACUUCAUAGCAGAGAAUUGAACACGUUGGUUUGGAGCCCUUACUAGCUUUCAUUCCACUUAAAUGAGUCCUGUUGUGCCCCCAGAAAAUGUCCCUACAGCUACACUGACACCACAGAAUAUCUCCUAUCCAAAUUCACAUAAUAGUUAUUUUUAUUUGCCUUUUAUAAAAAAAAUCUUUGUUUUUCAAAGCAGUGUUAGGUUCACAAAAUGAAGUGGAAAGUACAGAGAUUUCCUUACAUACCCCUGCCUCCCAACGUGGAUAGCCUUCCCCACUAUCACCAUCUCCCACCAGCGUGGUGCAUAUUUCAAUAUACUACCUUACAUUGACGUCAUUACCAUCCAAAGCUCAUAGUUUAUGGUUCAUUCUUGGUUUUGUACAUUCUGUGGAUUUGGACAAAUGUAUGAUGACAAAUGAUGUAUUAACAAUUAUGGUAUCAUACAGAGUAUUUCACUGCCCUAAAAAUCCUCAGUGCUCUGCUUAUUUUCUCUCACUUCUAACCCCUGGCAACACCUGAUCUUUUUACUCUCUCCAAGGUUUUGUCUCUUCCAGAAAGUCACAGAGUUGGAAUCAUAGAGUAGGUAACCUCUUCAGAUGAUAUUCUUUGACUUAUAUAUAUACGUUUAGAUCUAAUGUAUUUUAGAAAGCUUCAUAAAAGUAGAAACCCUUGAAAAUGCAGAUUGCUUGUAGUUUGGGAAAAAUUCAUUAACUUUUCUAUAACAGAAACUAAACAAAACAAAACUUUUGACCUAAAAAUAAAAAAGAAUAUUAUGUAUUAGAAAUAAAUGUUUUAAAGUUCUUGGACCAAGUAUAGGUUCAUAAUAAGAGUAAUAAUUUGGGCCAGGAUGACUUGAGGGACUUUUCCUGUGGCAAUGCCAUAGGAAUUGUGUUUUUCCCAAAUGCAGCAAGAUUUGAGCCACAUUCAUAUAAAUAAAUACAAUUUUGUUUUCUACAUGGAAAGAGAUAUUAGAUAUCCUAACAUCACUAAAAGCUAUCUAAAAUGCUGUCUGAGUUCAGGGAGAUAACUAUAACGUGACAAUUUAGUAGAACUAACCUAUUAUAGCAUAAAUGUUUACUUUAAAUUUAAAUAAUAAACAAAUUCAACAAAUUAACAGUACUGAAGAGACCAAUCAGAUGGGAAUCUAUGAAGUAGCUAUAAAAUAUUAAUUUCUAUAUUACUCAUAAUUUGUAGUUCUGGCUUUAUUUCUAUUAGAUUUCUCUUUUAUGUAAUUAUAAAACAAUUACAUGAAACAUGCUAUUGUGGGAAAAUCCUUGGAGCCCAAGUGAUUACAUUUCUAGUCAAAAUGAAAAGCAUUGAGAAGGCAUCAUUUCAUAUAUUUAAAAUUGUGGCAAAAUAUAAAACUGGCUAGAAUCCUAAUUUUCAGAAAUGUUUAAUGUUAAUCUUAUAAAUUGACAGAAAUUUACAACCUUUUAAUCUAAAAAUAUUUCUGAAAUGAAACUCAGAACUUUCCUCAGUACUAGUCUUUUUUCUGCUGCAAUUCUGUGAUAGACAGCCUCUUAAGAUAGUCCCAAAUAAUUCCCACCUCCAGUUUUUCAAGUUCUUGUAAAUCCUUCCCCUUGA